GGCUCCGAGCAGCGCGGCGCGGACAGCGAACGCGUGCCGAGCGGGAGCGAAGCGCGUCUGCAAACGGCGCGGCAGCAAUUCCAGCCGAUGGCGCGUUCUGAGGAAACACAGCCUCAAAUACACUGACAAGCCGUGCCGGGCCCAAAUACUGGGCUUUUUUUUUUUUUUUUUUUUUUAUAUUCAAGAAACACAGGUGGCUUCGGACUGCCCUCCUUCCCCUCCACCCUGAGAAGAGAAAAAGCAGAGAACUGAAGUCGUCGUGCUUUAUUCCUGCUUAGCACCGCACCUCGCGACGGGCCGCGCGGCUCAGAACAAAGCAGCUCGGAGCUGUGCACGGCCCCGCGCAGAGCCAAUCCCUCGGGCCCUCCGCCAGCACCGCUCGUUAGAGCCCAACGUCCGACCUCUCGCCCUGUGCUGCUACUGAAAGCGCUUCUGCUUAAGAUGUAAUUAAAGUCCCAACAAACAAGGGCUGGCUUCCCGCUCUGCCCUGCCCGGUACGUAGGGCAACACGGCCCGUCCCCACCCCUGGCGCUGUGACAUUUGUCCAAGCGUUCGUCCUGCGAGCAAUUAGAAGCCUGAGCACGGGGUGCCAUGCGUGGCUGCUGGGAUUUCGACUUGCAGAUCUCUUACGAACGAGUAAUGCGGAGAUUCCUCACUUGCUACACCGAGCUCUCAGACACUAAGAGCUGCAAGUCAAACUAACGAUUGCACUUCAGUUUAAAUAAAGAAACCAACUGCAGGAUUCCUCUGGCACCAAGCAAACUAUGAUCCUCAGUCAGCACUACAACACUAUUUUUUCUCCAGAUAAAUAAAAACAGAUCAUACAAUUACUGUCAAAUAAAAGUGCUCAGGUCUCCAGCAUUUGUGUGCAGGUGUGUCUAUGAAAUGUGUAUAUACAGAAAAAUACAAGGGCAUAAGCAAUGUACUGCAGUAAUAGUUCUCUUCCUAAA